UUUAUAAUUGACAACGUAGUACUAGUGUGGUAAGGCGGCCACCACCUCCCUCAUGGCGGGGGUCGACAUGCUCACCUACUUGGUAGUUAAUCUCCAGUCGCUGGCAGAUCACUCCUGUGGUAGUUAACCUUUAUCCUCUUCUCCAUUUUCGUGGAAGAUUUAUUUUUCUCGGUUCCUUUUUAACGGUGGCUGCAAUUAUUACGGUCCGCUAUACUCGUUGACAUGUUGGGCUCAGGAAAAGCAACGCCGAGGCUGCUUCAGCUGUAUACUCCGUUCAUCGUGGUUGCUGUAAUUGCAGUUUUGCGUGGUCUCUGCUCAUGCUCAGCCCCGUUAACUGCUACAACAUCGGUUGCAUCUUCAGCUCAGAAGAAGAAAGCCUAGAUUGAGUUUGUGUUUGUCAUAUUUCAAGAAGAAAGUAAUCAUGUUUCACUCGAUGUAAAUGUACAAGUACUUGUUAAAGUACUGAUGCAUCUUUCCUUCCA